UACGUAGGGUGCAAGCGUUAAUCGGAAUUACUGGGCGUAAAGCGUGCGCAGGCGGUGAUGUAAGACAGAUGUGAAAUCCCCGGGCUCAACCUGGGAACUGCAUUUGUGACUGCAUCGCUGGAGUGCGGCAGAGGGGGAUGGAAUUCCGCGUGUAGCAGUGAAAUGCGUAGAUAUGUGGAGGAACACCGAUGGCGAAGGCAAUCCCCUGGGCCUGCACUGACGCUCAUGCACGAAAGCGUGGGGAGCAAACAGG
rnacentral:rRNA from 1 species